CGUGCUAUUGCCGAAUUGGUAAUGGCAUCGCCGAUCACAGGCGAGGGUGCGGGUUCGAGUCCCGCUGGAACGA
rnacentral:tRNA from 1 species